rnacentral:pre_miRNA from 1 species
AUACUACUCCCUUCAUUCGAAAUUACUUGUCGUAGAAAUAGAUGUAUCUAGACGUAUUUCAGUUUUAGAUACAUCCAUUUCCGAGACAGGUAAUUCCGAACGAAGGGAGUAGACG